rnacentral:lncRNA from 10 species
CUUUUUUAUUUUAUUUUAUGCCUUCCUCCUUCCUGUCUCUCUUUAACCUUUCUUCUUCCCUCAGCCUCCUCCGACCAAAGCCUGGGCUCAAUGAACAUUCAGUAAAGGAACACGGAAUGUCAACUGCAGUUGCACUAGAGACAACCUUGAGACACAUUCCUCUUGUGAAGUCAGCUGUGUUUUCUGCUGAGUCUCCAUAGGAACGUCAGUCCUGAAUCCUCAGACCACCACCUGGAGUAGUAAGUGCUCCUGACCAUCCUAGAAGGCGUCUACUGCUGGAUCUCCAAAGCAUGUGACACACCGUAAGAGAGAAAUGAGAAUGCUGAGCUCUUCAGGUAAAGCCUGCUUUUUCACAAGCCCCCUAAUUUUACAACAUAAUUAUUUUGAAUUCACUGAUAAUUUCUACAAUUUUCCCAUAAGUCAUCUACACACAAUUCCCUCUCAUGCAACACUUGGCUUUGCUAAUACAUAUCUAUUAUGAGAGCUGUGCUUCUUAAGCGUAAAUGUUUUAUAUGCACUAAGGCUCUUGGCUUACAUAUAAAAGGGUAUUGAGCAAUGUGAUACAGGAGUCUUUUCUCCACAGUUCUCAUAUGUAAAGAAUUCAUU